UACGAAGGGGGCUAGCGUUGUUCGGAUUUACUGGGCGUAAAGCGCUCGUAGGCGGCUCGUUAAGUCGGGGGUGAAAUCCUGGAGCUCAACUCCAGAACUGCCUUCGAUACUGGCGAGCUUGAGUCCGGAAGAGGUGAGUGGAACUCCUAGUGUAGAGGUGGAAUUCGUAGAUAUUAGGAAGAACACCAGUGGCGAAGGCGGCUCACUGGGCCGGUACUGACGCUGAGGUGCGAAAGCGUGGGGAGCAAACAGG
rnacentral:rRNA from 1 species